UCGAUGCACGCGAGAACCUUACCUGGUCUUGACAUCCACAGAACUUUGCAGAGAUGGAUUGGUGCCUUCGGGAACUGUGAGACAGGUGCUGCAUGGCUGUCGUCAGCUCGUGUUGUGAAAUGUUGGGUUAAGUCCCGCAACGAGCGCAACCCUUAUCCUUUGUUGCCAGCGGUUCGGCCGGGAACUCAAAGGAGACUGCCAGUGAUAAACUGGAGGAAGGUGGGGAUGACGUCAAGUCAUCAUGGCCCUUACGACCAGGGCUACACACGUGCUACAAUGGCAUAUACAAAGAGAAGCGACCUCGCGAGAGCAAGCGGACCUCAUAAAGUAUGUCGUAGUCCGGAUUGGAGUCUGCAACUCGACUCCAUGAAGUCGGAAUCGCUAGUAAUCGUAGAUCAGAAUGCUACGGUGAAUACGUUCCCGGGCCUUGUACACACCGCCCGUCACACCAUGGGAGUGGGUUGCAAAAGAAGUAGGUAGCUUAACCUUCGGGAGGGCGCUUACCACUUUGUGAUUCAUGACUGGGGUGAAGUCGUAA
rnacentral:rRNA from 1 species